AUUGAACGCUGGCGGCAGGCCUAACACAUGCAAGUCGAGCGGAUGAAGAGAGCUUGCUCUCUGAUUCAGCGGCGGACGGGUGAGUAAUGCCUAGGAAUCUGCCUGGUAGUGGGGGACAACGUUUCGAAAGGAACGCUAAUACCGCAUACGUCCUACGGGAGAAAGUGGGGGAUCUUCGGACCUCACGCUAUCAGAUGAGCCUAGGUACGAUUAGCUAGUUGGUGAGGUAAAGGCUCACCAAGGCGACGAUCGUUAACUGGUCUGAGAGGAUGAUCAGUCACCAUGGAACUGAGACACGGUCCAGACUCCUACGGGAGGCAGAAGUGGGGAAUAUUGGACAAUGGGCGAAAGCCUGAUCCAGCCAUGCCGCGUGUGUGAAGAAGGUCUUCGGAUUGUAAAGCACUUUAAGUUGGGAGGAAGGGCAGUAAGUUAAUACCUUGCUGUUUUGACGUUACCGACAGAAUAAGCACCGGCUAACUUCGUGCCAGCCGCCGCCGUAAGAC
rnacentral:rRNA from 1 species